rnacentral:rRNA from 1 species
ACGGAGGCAGCAGUGAGGAAUAUUGGUCAAUGGACGAGAGUCUGAACCAGCCAAGUAGCGUGCAGGAUGACGGCCCUAUGGGUUGUAAACUGCUUUUGUACGGGAAUAAAGUGACCUACGUGUAGGUUUUUGCAUGUACCGUAAGAAUAAGGACCGGCUAAUUCCGUGCCAGCAGCCGCGGUAAUACGGAAGGUCCGGGCGUUAUCCGGAUUUAUUGGGUUUAAAGGGAGCGUAGGCCGUGCUUUAAGCGUGUUGUGAAAUGUAGGCGCCCAACGUCUGCACUGCAGCGCGAACUGGAGCACUUGGGUACGCAGGAAGUAGGCGGAAUUCGUCGUGUAGCGGUGAAAUGCUUAGAUAUGACGAAGAACUCCGAUUGGGAAGCCAGCUUACUGUAGCGCCACUGACGCUGAUGCCCGAAGGCGUGGGUAUCGAACAGGAUUAGAUACCCUGGUA